CAAUAGCGUAUAUUAAAGUUGUUGCGGUUAAAAAGCUCGUAGUUGGAGUUCUGCCAGGUGCCGCCUGUCCGCCCCAGUGGUGAGUACGUGGCGCGCAUUUGGCCCUUUCAAGGGGAGCGUAUCUGCACUUUAUUGUGUGGUGCGGGAUCCUUGACUUUUACUUUGAGGAAAUAGGAGUGUUCCAAGCAGGCUCUCGUCGUGCACAGCUCAGCAUGGAAUAAUAGCAUUGGACCUCGAUUCUAAGCUGUUGGUUGCCAGAAGCGAGGUAAUGAUGAAGAGGGAUAGUUGGGGGCAUUCGUAUUUAACUGUCAGAGGUGAAAUUCUUGGAUUUGUUAAAGACGGACUACCGCGAAAGCAUUUGCCAAGGAUGUUUUCAUUGA
rnacentral:rRNA from 1 species